rnacentral:rRNA from 1 species
UACAUGGGGUGCAAACGUUGCUCGGAAUCAUUGGGCGUAAAGCGCGCGUAGGCGGUUCGUUAAGUCAGAUGUGAAAGCCCCCGGCUCAACCGGGGAAGUGCAUCUGAAACUGGCGAGCUAGAGUACGAAAGAGGGUCGCGGAAUUCCCGGUGUAGAGGUGAAAUUCGUAGAUAUCGGGAGGAACACCGGUGGCGAAGGCGGCGACCUGGGUCGAUACUGACGCUGAGGAGCGAAAGCUAGGGGAGCAAACGGG